rnacentral:SRP_RNA from 1 species
CUUCGGGCUCCGCACAACGUUUGCCCUGUGAACCCCGCCAGGCCGGGAACGGAGCAACGGUAGCAGCGGCGG